rnacentral:rRNA from 1 species
AUGCAGUGUGAAUUGUUUUGUGAGAGAUCAGUUCUGUCUAGCAUCAGGUAUAGCAAUAUAUUCAUUAAUCUGGCACGUUCUGAAUUUCUGAGGGCAAUGGAACAUGUAGCUGUUACAGGCAUAAGAUUUUAUCAGGUUGAAGGCAUGAUACAUUGGUGUUGCUUGUGGCUUAACAGGUACUCCCUCCGUUCGGAAUUACUUGUCUCGGAAAUGAAUGUAUCUAGAACUAAAAUACGUCUAGAUACAUCCAUUUCUGCGACAAGUAAUUCCGAACGGAGGGAGUAUGUGGCAGUGUCAAUGUGUCGAAGCUGCAUUAGGUAA